rnacentral:rRNA from 1 species
GACAGAGGCCUCGAGCGUUAGGCGGAAUCACUGGGCUUAAAGCGUGUGUAGGCGGAUCGUUAAGUACCUUGUGAAAUCCCACGGCUCAACCGUGGAACGGCUGGGUAUACUGGCGGUCUUGGGCCAUUCAGGGGCGACUGGAACAAGCGGUGGAGCGGUGAAAUGCGUAGAUAUGCGGAGGUACACCGAUGGCGAAGGCAAUCCCCUGGGCCUGCACUGACGCUCAUGCACGAAAGCGUGGGGAGCAAACAGG